rnacentral:lncRNA from 1 species
AAGAACUGGCUGGGAAUUGGGGAAGAUGGGAUUGGUUGAUGAGGAAUUCAUGGAGAAAAUGGCCUGAGAAAAGGGAAUGAAGUGACUUUAAAAGGAAAUGAAGGUUCCCCUGGAAGAGGACUAGUGAUGUAUAUUGCAUUCCAAGGGGAAGGAGCACAGUGUUGGACCAUCCUCUCUCAUGGCUUGGGAUGAUGUCAGAUGAUGAAUGCUGUAGACGGGGUAUCUCUGAAGAUCAUUCAAGGAUAUCUCUCUGGAAGAUAGAAAAUGAAUAAGUACUGGAAGAAAUUUUGGUGAUAAAAGAAAAAAACACAAAAGAUAGCAUUUAAAAUUUAUUUAUAAAACAGUUAUAACCCAAGUUUAAAUUCUCUUUCUUCUACUAGUCUGAAUUGUGAUCUUGCACAAAUCACUUCAAUUCUCUAGGUCUCAAUUUUCUCAGCUGUGAAACAAGGAAGCCAAC